UACGUAGGGGGCAAGCGUUGUCCGGAUUUAUUGGGCGUAAAGAGCGUGUAGGCGGCUUGGUAGGUCCGCUGUGAAAACUCGAGGCUCAACCUCGAGAUGUCGGCGGAAACCGCUUGGCUAGAGUCCGGAAGAGGAGAGUGGAAUUCCUGGUGUAGCGGUGAAAUGCGCAGAUAUCAGGAAGAACACCCGUGGCGAAGGCGGCUCUCUGGGACGGUACUGACGCUGAGACGCGAAAGCGUGGGGAGCGAACAGG
rnacentral:rRNA from 1 species